rnacentral:rRNA from 1 species
AGAACGAACGCUGGCGGCAGGCCUAACACAUGCAAGUCGAACGCUGUAGCAAUACAGAGUGGCAGACGGGUGAGUAACGCGUGGGAACCUUCCCAGUGGUGCGGAAUAGCUCAGGGAAACUUGAGGUAAUACCGCAUAAGCCCUUAGGGGGAAAGAUUUAUCGCCAUUGGAUGGGCCCGCGUCGGAUUAGCUAGUUGGCGGGGUAACGGCCCACCAAGGCGACGAUCGGUAGCC